GACGAACCACACAAACGUUAUUCGGAAUUACUGGGCUUAAAGGGUGCGUAGGCGGCGCGGAAAGUUGGGUGUGAAAUCCCUCGGCUCAACCGAGGAACUGCGCUCAAUACUACCGUGCUCGAGGGAGACAGAGGUGAGCGGAACAGACGGUGGAGCGGUGAAAUGCGUAGAUAUCGUCUGGAACGCCGAAGGUGAAAACAGCUCGCUGGGGCUGCGCUGACGCUGAGACACGAAAGCCAGGGGAGCGAACGGG
rnacentral:rRNA from 1 species